AGAUGUUUGUGAAAAACCCAUCUGCAAUUCCCCAUCCACUGGAGAAGUGGCUCGUAUCUGAUCUUCAGCAAAGCAGACUGCGGUUGGCUUCGGCCUCGUCUGCUAAGAUCCAACAGCAAAAGAAAAGCAAUGAUGAAACCAAUUAAGCAUGAAUGUGCACAUUUCAGCAGCAGUGAUUUCAGGAUAGAGACAUUGUCAAAGUUUGUAACCGUCGAGUUUGGAAUUUGAAUUUGUUCAGCUGGUAAUGCCAUCUAUAAAACAAACUGAGCACAGCAUCGUCAGGAAGUAGUUUUCUUGCUCAGAAUGUAAAACAAGUAUCUGACGACUGGCCAGGCUGCUUUCUAGAUAUGUGAUGAAAAGUUAUUCAGUGUUAGCCCCUUGCUUUCACUGAAGCUGCCUUGGGUUGCUGCACAUAACACAUACCCUCCAAUUAAGUGUCUCUAUUUUCCUGAGACAGUCCUAGAAUGAUGAAUAAUAAUAACAAUAAUAAUUUAUUAUUUAUACCCCGCCCAUCUGCCUGGGUUUCCCCAGCCACUCUGGGCGGCUUCCAACCAAAUAUUAAAAACAAUACAGUGUCAGACAUUAAAAACUUCCCUAAACAAGGCCACCUUCAGUUGUCUUUUAAAAGUAUUGCCUUGACAUCUGCUGGGAGGGCGUUCCACAGGGCAGGCACCACUACUGAGAAGGCCCUCUGCCUGGUUCCCUGUAACCUCACUUCUCACAGCGAGGGAACUGCCAGAAGGCCCUCGGAGCUGGACCUCAGUGUCCGGGCUGGAUGAUGGGAGUGGAGAUGCUCCUUCAGGUAUAUAGGACCAAGGCCAUCCUGGCUUCUGAUUUGAUCUUGGAAUUUCCCUAUUCCCCCUGCCAGCUUCACCAAACCCCUGCAACGGGGUGAGCUCCCAUUGCUCGGUCCCUGCUCCUGCAACCUAGCAGUUCAAAAGCAUGUCAAAGUGCAAGUAGAUAAAUAGGUACCGCUCCGGCGGGAAGGUAAACGGCGUUUCUGUGCGCUGCUCUGGUUCGCCAGAAGCGGCUUAGUCAUGCUGGCCACAUGACCCGGAAGCUGUACGCCGGCUCGCUCGGCCAAUAAAGCGAGAUGAGCGCCGCAACCCCAGAGUCGUCCGUGACUGGACCUAACAGUCAGGGGUCCCUUUACCUUUACAUGUCCACUCACUCUCAUCUGUGCACCUCACUCAUACAGAAUCUCCAAUACAGGCUGAUUCUGCCAACCUUUCUAGCACCACAGCAAGCACAAGGCAGCACGGCACAUAUAAACACAACAGCUCAUGCCAGACUUCUGCCCCAGGAAACCCUUAAUUAUUAAUUGUUACAAUUCACCGGGAGGAGAAGCAAGCAAGCAAAAAAGAAACGCAACGUCACUUGCCCUCAUUACUGGUCCACAUUUAUUUAUUUAUUUCUGGGCAGCCUUCCAGAAGCCACAGGCCAGAGGUGUCAGGGCCAGAGGUAAAAGGGAGCAGAUAAAGUAAAACUUGGCUUUUAUACAGUAGGCUAGUUUCUGCACACACUCACCAACAACUCUCCAUCCAGCAAGCAAGAAUUAUUGUCGUGGUUCAAGGAUACGUUGCACCUGGCCCCAAACACUCAAGGGGAGAACAAAGAAGGGCCAGUAAGAGAGGUUUGUGGAGAGUCUUAGAGGCCAGCCAGAGAGGAUUGUGGGGGUGCAUUUGGCCCUGGGUAUGAAGUUCCCCAUUCCUGCUCUUUAGCAAGAUUGCCAUAUACAUUGCAGGGAUAAUGCAGGCCAGUUUGAUCACAAGGGCCGGCUUCUGGAAUCAUAGAAUUAUAGAGCUGGAAGGGAUCAGCCCUCUGCAAUGAUGGGAUCUCAGCUGAAGCAUCCAUGGCAGAUGGCCAUCCAACCUCUGCUUGAAAACCUCUAAGGAAGGAGAGUCCACAACCUCCCAAGGGAGACUGCUCCACUUAAAACAGCUCUUACUGUCAGAAAGUUCUUCCUGACAUUUAGUCGCAAUCUCCUUUAUUUUAUUCUAUUCUAUUCUAUUCUAUUCUAUUCUAUUUUAAAAUUGCAAAAAGCUGUAUUUUUUCUAGUACUUUUAUUUCUGUUUUUAUUUUUGCAUACCAGUUAUCAGAGGAAAACGCAAACGCAAUCCCCGCAUUUGGGGAAAUCGCAGGGGUCAGCACACCCAUAGUGCAAUGGAUGAUCCUCACCUUGGGAAAACCUCCUUCAUGAUCAAGGUGUCUCCCCCACUAUCGGAAUCUCCUUUCUUGUAGCUUGAAGCCAUGGGUUCGAGUCCUACCCUCCAGAGCAGGAGAAAGCAAGCUUGCUCCAUCAUCCGUGAGAUAGCCUUCUUCAAAUAUAUAAAGGGCUAUUAUAUCUCUUCUCGGUCUCUUUUUCCCCAGGCUAAACUUGCCCAACUCCUUCAACCAUUCCUCAUAAGGCUUGGUUUCCAGGACCUUGGUCAUCUUGGUUGCCCUCCUCUGCACACAUUCCAACUUGUCAAUGUCCUCCUUAACUUGUGGCGCCUAGAACUGGACACAGUAUUCCAGGUGUGGUCUGACCAAGGCAGAGCAGAGUGGUACUAAUACGUCCUCAGACUGUGUUCAAAGCGUAGCCAGGGAGUAGGUAUGAAUCUUUACAAUGUAUGGUUAGGGACAGCAUAUUCUGGAAAGCAAAACCUUUUAACAAUAUGCAAGGCCGCCAUGAUUACAAAAUUAAUACAUUUAUUAAGUUCAUAUAAAUGUCACCUGCUGACCAUCAUAACCAUUUUUCUUUAGGGAACAUGAAUGGACAGGCAUUUAUUAAUUUAGCAUGUACAGAUAACACUAAAUUCAGCAAGUAUUGAAAAAAAAUCAAUGAACUUAAAAGUGUGUUUUUUAAACUUCUAUUUUGCAAUAAGCUGUUCUCUUUAGAAGGGCCUCUUUGCAAAACAGAAGUAAUUAAACAAGAUUUAGAAACUCAUUUGUAUUUUAAAACAUUCUUAAAUGGAGAUAAAUAAUGUAUUUUUGCUGGAGAAAAAACUGUACCAGCUAAAUGUAAUUUAUUACUUUGUUUAGUUUCUCAAUAAUGUGCUGUUCAUCAAAAGGCAGCAAGAAAAAUCCAUCUCCUGAAGUCAUAAUACAUGUGCCGGAACUAAUUGUAGCACACAGGAAAAUCCAUUUCAGAUUCCAGAAAGUGUUUUCAUGUCUGGAAUAUAAAAGAAAAACAGUUAAGCUCAAAUAUGUGCACUUGAACCCAGUGCUUGAUUUCUAAACAAAGACAAACUGGACUUCAAGCCAGCCUCAUCCCAGAUGUAUUAUUAUGAUUAUCACCAUUGGUUUAUUAAUUGCCUCCCAAACAACCAUAUCAAGGCAAAUUACACAUAGGAUUAUUUAAAACAGAACACAAAGGCAUGAAAUAUGUUUGAAACAAAACUGAACCCUUAAGAACAAAGAUAUUCAUGGUAAAGACCCAUUCUGAGAGCAAAUGCAAAAUGCAGAUAUAAGUCCUAGGGGUGGAGCAGUUUGAUUCNNNNNNNNNNNNNNNNNNNNNNNNNNNNNNNNNNNNNNNNNNNNNNNNNNNNNNNNNNNNNNNNNNNNNNNNNNNNNNNNNNNNNNNNNNNNNNNNNNNNCCUCAGAGUUUGUUCAAGUCCACAAACCUCUGUCUGUGACUGAGCCCCUCUGACAUGGCUCCUCUAGUCACUAGAAGAUUCCGACAGUGGUUGCUUUCGUAAUCGCUUCCAACAUAAAAGCUCCUUAACGGAAACACGUCUUCUGGACUCUCUGCGUGACAGUUUCCGGCGAGGAGUGGGUGUCGCUACAGGAGGUCCGGAAACCUCACCACUGUUUUCGCUGGAAGUAUCUCUGAGCCAUCCCCCAGCUCCCUUUCCCUCAGUUCAGCUUCUCUCCCCUACUGGUUUCCUGUUCCGCUGCUGAGUCUCUUCCAACCUGUCUGAGCCCUUUCACCUCCCUCAGUUCAGCUUCUCUCCCUUGCUGGUUCCCUCUUCAGCUGCUGGAUCUCUUCCAUCCUGUCUGAGUCCUUUCACCUCCCGUCCUUCCGAUGGCUGUUCCCUGACAUCCACCUCCCUCCAGGGCCCCCUUCAACCCCUCUCGCCCCCUCCUCUACGGGCGGUGAGGAGGCAAAACCCCGGAAUGAACUUCCUUCAUCUUCCGAUGUCUCGAACACUUCUCUCCACCUGUUGCGGUUCCUGGUCUCGAAGCACUCCUCCUCCUCCGAGUCCAUCUCCCUUCCCCUUCCGAUUCUGGGAAUCCUUCCAACUCCUCCUCCUCCUCAGUGGUCCCAAAGUAUUCCCUCCGGAACCUCUCCACAGGCUGAGGUUUCCGCGGGAACCUUUGAUGGAACAUUUCUAUCAAUACCUCGUCAUUGAUAUCUUUGGCCAUUACCCACGUGUUUUCUGACUCCGGUUCUCCUUCCCACGCUACCAAAUACUCCACCUGAUUCCCCUUCCACCUGGCAUCAAGGAUUUCUGCCACAUGACUGCUGCAUUCUCUUUCUUCUAUGACCGGUCCCCGAGUGGCCAUCCCUUCUCGUCCCCCCUCGUACGGUGACAGUAACGACCUGUGAAAUACUGGGUGCAGUUUCAUGUGGUUGGGUAACCGGAGCCUGAAAGCCACUGGGUUGACCUGUUGAAUGACCUCAAAGGGACCCAACCUCCUGGGUCGUAAUUUCUUACAACCUCCUUUGAACGGCAACCCUCGGGUUGACAGCCACACCCUAUCUCCAACCCUUAUGGUUUCACCUUCCCUUCGGUUCUUGUCUGCCUGCCUCUUGUAUUCUUCCUUCGCCCUUUCUAAGUUGAGUUGGAGCUGACGGUGGAUUGCUUCCAUUUCUUCUACAAAAUGCUCGGCUGCCGGUACGCUCCAUCUCUCCCCUUCUCCCCUGGGAAAGCCCUGGGAUGACACCCAUAAUUAGCCAAGAAGGGGCUCAUCCCUGUGGACACAUUCUCGGCAUUGUUGUAGGCAAAUUCCGCCAGCGCCAACUUUUCUACCCAGUCAUUCUCUCUGUCAUUGACAUAACACCUCAGGUAUUGCUGGAGGACACCGUUUGCUCUUUCCGCCUGCCCGUUGGUUUCAGGGUGCCGGGCAGUCGAAAAGUUGACCUCCACCUGCAGUAAGCUCAUGAGCUUCCUCCAGAACCUGGAAGUAAAUUGUUUUCCUCGGUCUGAGACCACCCUCAAUGGCACCCCGUGCAACCUAAAAAUGUGUUCUACAAAUAACUUCGCUGUCUCUUCCGCCGUGACUGCAUGCGAGCAAGCUACAAAGUGGCACAUCUUUGUUAGUAGGUCUACCACCACCAUGAUGGCUGUUUUCCCUUUGGACUUCGGCAGAUCAGUCAUAAAAUCUAUCGACACUGCCUCCCAAGGUCGUUCUGGUGUUGGUAAGGGUUCUAAUAGCCCCGCCGGCGCCCGCCUUUCCCCUUUGGCUCGCUGGCACUGCUCGCACCCUCUUACAUACUCACGUACAUCCUCCCUCACCUUAGGCCACCAAAAUUCCCUGGUGACCAACCACAUGGUUUUGUGUUGCCCAAAAUGCCCCGCCGUGGGGCUGUCAUGCAACUGCUUGAGUACCCUCCCCUUAAGUCUCCUUCAGGGAUAUACAGUGCCCCUUUGUAAUACAAAGCUCCAUUUCUUUCCUCGAAACCCCUUGAUUCCUCUCCCUCAUCCCUAAGACCUCUGAGCUUAUUCUGGGCGUAUUCAUCAUUCUCUGUUUCUUCUACCAGUUCUCUUUGUCCCACCAAUGCCGCCCCACACACCCAGCGGUCCUCUGGAAUGACAUGUCUCUCUUCGGGUGCUCCCUCCCCUCCCAAUAUUCAGGUUUGCGUGAGAGAGCGUCCGCCCUAAUGUUCUCUGGGCCUGGCACGUAACAAAUCUCAAAGUUAAAUUUGGAGAAUUCCUGGGCCCAUCUCACUUGCCGUUGGUUGAGCACUCGUGCCGUCCUCCAAUACUCUAGGUUCUUGUGGUCAGUGCACACUUGCACCUUAUGUUGUGCGCCAAUUAGCAGGUGCCUCCAUCUCCGGAACGCCUCAUGAAUGGCUAGUAGUUCUCGGUCAUACACCGUGUAGUUCCUCUCGGAUUUGUUCAGCUUUCGCGAAAAAAGCACACGGUCUCCACUCUGACUCCUCCUUCCCUGGCUGGAGAAGCACCGCCCCAACCGCUCUGUCUGAUGCGUCAGUUUCCACUCUCAUCGGUUUUUGUAAAUCCACAUGCAGGAGCUGUUGUUCCGAGGCGAAGGCCCUUUUAGUUCCUCAAAUGCUUGCUCCGCCUCCUCCGUCCAAACGAACUUCUUCUUACUGCUGAGACAGUCCGUAAUGGGCGCCGUCAGGUGGGCAAAGUUUGGGAUGAACUUACGAUAGAAGUUCCCAAACCCUAAAAACCUCUGCACAUCCUUCCUUGUUUUGGGUGUUUUCCAUUCCAGUACCGCCUGGACCUUGUCGGGAUCCAUGGCCAACCCCUUGUCAGACAGGCGAUACCCCAGGAAUUCCACCUCCUUGGUAUGAAACUGACACUUCUCCAGUUUCACCCACAGCUGGUUGGCUUGCAGCCUGCUCAACACUUCUCUGACGUCUCUCACAUGCUGCUCCUCAUUCUCAGAAUACACCAACACGUCGUCUAAGAAGGCCACACAAUUCUUGUAAAGCAACGGCCCCAGGACGUGGUUCAUAAACGAUUGAAAUGUUGCGGAGCCUGCUUGUAGACCGAAGGGCAUAACUAAGUAUUCAAAUGCCCCUAAAGGGGUGAACAUGGUGGUUUUCCAUUCAUCCCCCUUCCUUAUUCGUAUCAGGUUGUACGCCCCCCUUAGAUCCAGCUUGGUAAAAAUCUUUCCCUUCCGCACCCUUGUCAAAAUGUCGUCAAUCCUGGGCAUCGGGAAGGCCACUGGUUCUGACACUGCAUUUAAGGCCCUGAAGUCACACACCAGUCUCGGCUUGUUCGUGUUUUUUUGUCCACAAAAACACUGGGCUGCCCCCCACCGCCCUGGACUCUCUGAUGAACCCUCUCUUCAGGUUCUUGUCAAUGAACUCUCUUAGCUCCUGCAUCUCUCUGUCUGACAUGGCGUACAGCUUGCCUACAGGGAGCUGUGCCCCAGGGAGCAAAUUGAUUUGACAGUCAAAGGCUCUAUGCGGUGGUAGUUGGUCAGCUUCCCUUUCGCUGAAAACGUCGCGGAGAUCUGCGUAUUGUCGUGGUACCUUCACGUUCUCCGUCACUUCAGUCCCUGCUAGAGUGGCUUGGGCCCCUGCCAAAACCCUUCCCUCUUUGCAAUGUUCUAAGCAAUGUGCUGACCCAAAAGAAACCACUCUUUGAUGCCAGCCCACCAGCGGAUCAUGUAACGCUAGCCAGCUCAUCCCCAAUAUAAUGGGAGCUCCUCCCAAGGUGGCCACAUUAAAUGCUAUUAGUUCGGUGUGCCUUGCCACCUUCAUUAUCAUUGGGACGGUCUGCAAGCUGACUUCUCCUCCCAACAGCUCCCUGCCAUCGAUCGUGGUUACCUGCAGGGGGUUGCUUAAAGGGAGCGUCUGUAUCUGGUGUUCAGCUGCAAACUCUUUGCUCAUGAAAUUGCAGGAGCUGCCUGAGUCCAACAGCGCCUUUAUCUUUAGAGGGUGUCCGUUUGGCAGCUCUAGUGUCACUUCUAUCACUAGGGCGGGUUUAGGAGGUUCUGGAGUGGGCACUUUCACUGCUCUUUGGCCUGGCUGCUGUGCCCCGACAAUGGCAGCCAGGCGUUGGCUUUUAGUUGCUCCGGUAUUUAUUCCUCUCUUCCCUCCACAGCUCCCACCAUCCCUUGCCAUUCCUUCCUCUGGGGGCAGACUCUGGCAAAGUGCCCUGGCUGUUGGCAGAGAUAGCAUUUCCGGGCGCCUUUUCCAUCCUUCUUUCCCCUCACUGGGCUUUGAAACUGCGCGCGCGCGCUGUUCCGAUUUCCAUCGGCUCUGCCGGCGGGACAGUUGGCUCUGGAAUGUCUGGAAUGCGGAACUCCUUCCAACGUUCCCCUUCCCUUCCCGCCUCUCCAAUGCUCUCGCCUCCUGGCGCGCUCCUAUGGCCAGCGCUGAUUUGGUCAGCUGGUCCAUAGACUCCGCCCUGGGCGCCCGGGAAAGUUCAUCUUUCACAGCCGAAGAAAGCCCUUCUUCAAAGAGCAUUUGAAUGGGUUCCGCCGAUAAGUCCCACCCCAAUCUGUGUAUCAGCAUGGUGAACUCAGUCCAGUACUCACGUACAGAUCGGCUCCCCUGUUUGCAAGCCAUUAACUGUCUGCGCACCACUCCCUUUUCAAUAUCGCUGGAAAACAUCAAAUCCAUGGCGCGAAAGAACUUCAUUGUGUCCUUUAGGACGUCACUAUGCGCUGCCAUCAGGGGUCUCACCCAGUCUCUCGCCCCUUUUCAAGAUGCCCAAUCACAAAAGCCACUCGUGAUUCCUCAUCAGGGAAAUCAUCAAACUGCAGAUUGAGGGCAUAUUGCAUUUCUGUCCGAAAGCUAUGAUAGUCUUUGGGCUCCCCCCCAAAUUUCUGCACCAAUCCUGGUACCUUUCUGGCGAGCUGGGUGGCUUUCUCCCUUUGUCUGCAUCUUGCGCCCUCCUCUCCUCCAGCCUCGCCGUCUGCAGCGCCAGCUGGACCUCCAACACCCGGUACCUUUCUUCCAGGCUUGGACCCGCUCCAGCCCCUGCUUCUCCGGUUCCUGCUGGGUUGCUCAUUAUGCCUUCUCCUGCACAAGCUGCGUUCAAAGACUGUCGGAAUGCUGUGAUGGGAUUAUGAGCUGCUUGUGCGUAAAAUCGUAUUCCCUCAGAGUUUGUUCAAGUCCACAAACCUCUGUCUGUGACUGAGCCCCUCUGACAUGGCUCCUCUAGUCACUAGAAGAUUCCGACAGUGGUUGCUUUCGUAAUCGCUUCCAACAUAAAAGCUCCUUAACGGAAACACGUCUUCUGGACUCUCUGCGUGACAGUUUCCGGCGAGGAGUGGGUGUCGCUACAGGAGGUCCGGAAACCUCACCACUGUUUUCGCUGGAAGUAUCUCUGAGCCAUCCCCCAGCUCCCUUUCCCUCAGUUCAGCUUCUCUCCCCUACUGGUUUCCUGUUCCGCUGCUGAGUCUCUUCCAACCUGUCUGAGCCCUUUCACCUCCCUCAGUUCAGCUUCUCUCCCCUUGCUGGUUCCCUCUUCAGCUGCUGAAUCUCUUCCAACCUGUCUGAGUCCUUUCACCUCCCUUCCUUCCGAUGGCAGUUCCCUGACAAGUUCACAAUAUGCAACUCCAAACACAUCCACCCUUCAAAAUCCACAAUUCUCCCAUUGCUUGAAGUGCAGUUUUCCAGCCAAGUAAAAAAAUGCAUAUACUGUGGUAAAGUGUGCAUAUAAAUGCAGCAGUGUGCACAUUAGAGGAAGUUGCACCCCAAAAUGUCUUUAUCAUGAGGACUUUUUAAAUGUUGAAAUGUGAAGAACUAGAUUUAAGAUGGAGGAACAGAGAGAAGUUGAACUUGGCGUGUUUGCCCACCCCUGCAUGACUCUUAGAUAUUGUGAUUGUGCAAUUUUAGAUUAUAAAUGCAGGGCCACAUUAUUGAAAAGUGUGUGGGUGUCCCCUCUGCCUCAUAUUCUAGUUACUGAAAACAUGGGCAUGGAGAUUUUUGACACGAGGCAAACUUACAAAUAUGCAGUCUCUCGCAUCAUGCACUUCAAAGGAAGUUGUAUCACGUGGCUUAUAAAGGGAGCCAAGAGCAGUUUAAAACAAUAAAUACCAGCGUGAUUCUUUGCAUAUUGACACAAAAUUUAAUUCUACAAUAUUCACUGGAGAAUACUCCAGAGGUGGAUUUAGGGCAGUGAUGGCGAACCUUUUAGAGACCAAGUGCAACCCAAAACCCACUUAUUUAUCACAAAGUGCCAACACGGCAAUUUAACCUAUAUAUCUCAUUUUUUCUGUGUGUUUCACGUUUCUUCUUUAUGACUGCUGUCAGAAUAAAUAAUCCUUCAUUACAUUCUUCAUUAAAUUAUCUUUCAGUUGAUAUAUAAUUUUAUGGUAUAACUCAGUGCUUUUUUUCAAAAAAAUAAAUGUUUCGGGGUACUCUCAUUUUGACUCAAGAAAAUCACCACCAGGGGAAAAAUAAAUAUAGUGAUACCUCAGUUUUCGAACAGCUUAGUUCUCGAACUACUUGGAAUCUAAACACUUCAAACCCGGAAAUGAGUGUACUGGUUUUGGAACUCUUUUUGGAAGCCGAACGUGCUCUGUUCUGAGUAUAACUUCCGUUUUGACUUAAACCAGCUUUAGUUCGGCAACUGAGCCCUGGCUGAGUGAGAGUGAACAAGUUAUGUUAGUGUUGGGGUAUAACUAGCCUCACAUAACCAACAUGCUUAAGUCUAAUUAAUUCAGGAAGGGGUUAAUGCCAUAGAGUAAGCUGUCCUGCUAGACUUAGAUAGGUCACUCCCCCUCACCUUAGGAAGAAGGUAAUCAAGCCUGUUGUUGUACGUCAGUCUACCAGAGAAGCUCAGCGAGUCAAGAGGUCUGAGCUGGUUGCUUCAAGUUCAGACUGCAUGGCUCUAACAAGCCACUCUUAUUUAGGAAGUUUGGAACUAAGCCAAGUUUUACUGCCUGUGCAACAUUUUCUGAAUGCUUUAUGGGAAAGCACCUGAAACUGACCUUUGGAGAGUUUAUAAGUAAACCAUUUUUUAACUUACCAAAUAUGUGAUGUAUUUUUUUCCCUAUGCUAACUGAAGGGGUACGUUUUAGAACUCACAAGGGCAUGUUUUAAAGGUUUAACAGCCUCUAUUUCCAUGCUUUGCUUUGCUGAAUAUUUUGUGAUUUUAAAUCUCUGCUGUGGUUCUCCCACCAAAGAGUACUUGCUCCAAACUUCUAUUUUGGCAUCCAGGAGUUCUCCUUUUUGUACCUACAUUUCUCCUUGCCACCAAAAAACGUAUAUUUGGCUGAGCUGUGGUUGGGGACUUAAUGCCGGCUGAGCCAAAGAGCCACUGCAUUCAAAGCUGCUCGUUCCAGCGGAACUUCCUAUAGGAUUGUCCCUCGUGUAACACACAUGUUGUUGUUGUUGUUGUUGUUUAGUCAUUUAGUCAUGUCCAACUCUUCAUGACCCCAUGGACCAGAGCACACCAGGCACUCCUGUCUUCCGCUGCCUCCCACAGUUUCGUCAAACUCAUGCUGGUAGCUUCGAGAACACUCUCCAACCAUCUCUAUCGUCCCCUUCUCCUUGUGCCCUCCAUCUUUCCCAACAUCAGGGCCUUUUCCAGGGAGUCUUCUCUUCUCAUGAGGUGGCCAAAGUAUUGGAGUCUCAGCUUCAGGAUCUGUCCUUCCAGUGAGCACUCAGGGCUGAUUUCCUUAAGAAUGGAGAGGUUUGAUCUUCUUGCAGUCCAUGGGACUCUCAAGAGUCUCCUCCAGCACCAUAAUUCAAAAGCAUCAAUUCUUUGGCGAUCUGCCUUCUUUAUGGUCCAGCUCUCACUUCCAUACAUCACUACUGGGAAAACCAGUUGAGCUGCCAUAAGAGUUGCCAAUUCAUUGCAGUUCAACUAUGUGUUUAGUCUUUUCAACAUUAUUACUGAGAAUAAUGCAUUUCUGCAGAAUGCCAAACAAUUAUAAAAGUUUGUUUCCCCCCCCCCCAAAUGUGAUACUUUAUCAUGAUGACUUCACACACAUCACACGCCCAAUUGUUCCUAUGGUAUACAGAACAGGGUAUUAUAAGUCCAACAGCUUUUAUCACCUAAUUCUUCACAUCCCAAAAUACAUUUUGGACACAAUGCCAUGCUCCCAUUUUCUCCACUGACAUUUCCAAAACAAUUCCACCAGCAUAAAAUUACCCAAGCAAUCUGACAAGUGUAGAUCUUGCUAAUGUCUAAAUUAUUGUAGCAACGAGAAGCUGUGUGUUUUGUGCAUUAAACUUUAAACAUCAUCCAUAAAAGCUCAACUGCAUGCCUGCUUAAAUAUGGGUUACGAAAAUAUCUAUUAUCAGAAAGGCUCAAAUGGGAUUUAACAUUUGCUCUUCGGUUAAGUUGAUGGUAAUGCAGACUCCUUUUGUUUGUUUGGCUUUUAGGUGAUAAAACUGAAAACAUGAAGACAGCUUUAAUUACAAGCAUUCAAUAAUCCUACAGUAUGUAUGAUAAAAAGGCACUGAGAUUUGUUUUUAAUAGCCCGAGGGGCUAUUUUGACUUCUCUACUCAUUUUUCUGUGUAUUAAAAAUGCAUUAUUAGUAGCGUUCACAAGAUUGCUUAGAAGUCUGGGCUUUUUAUCCUCCUCCUUUAUUUUUUGUAUACUAGAAUUAUCUGGUUUUCUUUUCUAUUCAUGCAUUUAGUUAGCCUGAUUCCUUUCAAAAAGUGAAGUAUCUUCAGUUAGAAACUUAUAUAUCUGAAAUAUUCAAGGAUGGUUGAAGGACCAGAUAAUUCAGUUCCAGCAAAGUAUGUACUUUGGGCCAAACUACACAAGAAAUUAAAUGUACUUUUCAAUUUCAUGUGCAGGAGGUGUAAAGACGGAACUAAACCCCUCCCCUAUUGUGAUCCAGACAAAAAUCUCCCUUACACAUGAAGAGAGUUGUCUGCAAGGGAGAAGCAAAGGUAAGAAACUUGCACACAUUCAGUUCUGCAAAGCAGACUUUGUGCAGCUGAGGAAUGCUACAGUGCUAUGAAUGUCUAAAUGUCUCAAGCUUAAGCAAGACCACGAUAAAAAUAUUUUUCAUUCAUUAAUUAAAUGUUAUCUUUAACUUAUCACUGCCACCCCAUCUGAGAAUUUGAUCACCUUUCUGUAUUUAUUAUGAAUGUUUUAUAGUUCAUCUCUUUCCUGGAAGGAUGGUUCUCUGCCAUUCACUUCCUGGAAUUACAAACAGUGCCUUUGAAAUCAAUAACAUAGCAACAAGCUUCUGUCGUUCUUAACAGUGGUCCAUCAAGCCAACAUCUGAUGUCUUCCAGCAACCAGCUCUCUUGGUCCUCCUAGGGAGUCAAUAACUCUAAUAUAAGCCAUGAGUGAGGCAGUCACUUUUCUUUCAUUCAGUAUUUGGAUUAUAGGUAAGCUUGUGAUGGCCUGGGAAUCGGAUUCAGAGGCUGAACCUGAGGAAUCCCAGCCUGAACAGGAGUCCCCGCCUCCAGGGCCGGCUGAGCUGGGGCAGGGGCUUGAACCUGAAGAGCCCUCACCUGUGCCGGAUCCUCAGGAGCAGACACCAGCUGAAUCCGCUCUGGCUCCGGAGGUGAUCGAGGACCCAUUGCCUGCAGGUGCUCCUCUCCCAGCCCUGCCAGAGGAAGGUGAGGUUGCCUCUGGGUCCAGUAACCCUCCAGCCUCUCCUGAGCUGCAGAGGCUCGGGGCAGAGAGGCGGAGGGAACUAAGUUCUCGCAGGAGGAGUGCUCGCCUCCAGGCCAGGAGAGGCGAGUCACCUGUGGACCGGGGCCGCUCUAUGCCUCAGAGGAGAUCAAGGCCAGCCCGCCCAGUCCCAGGUUGCGGGAGCAACAUCGUUGGUUACCUGUUCCUGCCGGCACCCUGUCCUGCUUUCUGCCAGAGUUCCUGACCAUGCCUGACUCCCUGCCUUGGACCCCGCUUCAGCCUCGGACCGGACAUGGACCACGCCGCACGGUAACCCCCCCCCCCGGGACCAGCAUAAUUAUGCCAUAGGCUAUAGGAUCAAUUUAGUUGUGUAAAGGCAGUAGACCUGAGAAGUUGUUAAAUGAAUAGAGAACUGAACUCGAGGCAAGGAGUGGGUGGGGGGGUAAAAUAAACGUAGCUAUGUUGUCACCACUCAAUCAGUAUUUGUUUUGUAAAAUCAGCCCUGAGUGUACACACACACACACACACACAACCUACGGAGAGCCUGCGUUAUUUUUGUGCAACCCUGCAAAUACUAGCAGCUUCCACUUUGGGGAAAUAAAUAUUUUUUUAAAUAAAAACAAAACAUGAAACUGCUUUUGGAUUCAGCAUAGUUAACAUGCUCUUUCUAUUUCAGGCUUCAAUAACUGGUCUGUUGCUAUGUUCUCUGUAGAGACAUUCGUAAUCUCUUCCUGUGCAUUGCACUAAGCAAAACUGCUGAUUCUUAAUACUUGGGUUAUUAAGGGGGAAAUGGGCAGUUGAAGCUCCUUAAAAUGACAGAGACUUUUUUCUGUAUUGUCUUAAUAAAAAAGAUAACAGUAUUGAAAUCCCAAAACGCAAUGAUCCCAGCAGGAAAUCAUUACUUAUACUGUAAUAUUAAAAAAAAUCAAAUAUUGCUCAUUCUCAAGGACUGCAAUGUAAGUAAAAGAACUCUCCUGAUAGCCAAUAAAUUGAUUCCAGUCAAUCUACGGCUUGGGGCAGAGAGGUGAACAGGAGGGGGGGAAGUAAGGAGGAGAGCCUUCGACAUCUCUAAGCAUCUACAUCUAACGCCUCCCUCCUGCUAGGCUUGCACCUGCUUCUAGUUGCCCAUACCAACAGGCAAACCUCUCACCAUCAAGCAAGCCAGCCCUGCAGUUGAGAGAAGCAGCCCUAGAAACCUCUUCACCUCCAGCCAAUUUACAUCACCUGGCUCAAGAACCAUAAAAGCAGAAGCAGAUGCAAUGUGGCAGGCUACCAUUUGGUGAGAACAACCCUGAAAGGGUUGUCACUUCAGGGUUGGGGAAAGGGCACAAUUCUACCAUGGUUUCCUCCCCCUACCUGUGGGCAUUACAUGAGUGUGUUUAUUGUAUGCAGCAUGUAUUUGCAUGUGUGUAUGCAGGUAUGCAUGUGUGUAUGCAGGUAUGUAUGAUGGGGAUGUGGGUGGCGCUGUGGGUUAAACCACAGAGCCUAGGACUUGCCGAUCAAAAGGUCGGCGGUUCGAAUCCCUGCGACAGGGUGAGCUCCCAUUGUUCGGGUCCCUGCUCCUGCCAACCUAGCAGUUCGAAAGCACGUCAAAGUGCAAGCAGAUAAAUAGGUACCGCUCUGGCGGGAAGGUAAACGGUGUUUCCGUACGCUGCUCUGGUUCGCCAGAAGCAGCUUAGUCAUGCUGGCCACAUGACCCAGAAGCUGUACACCAGCUCCCAUGGAAAGUAAAGCUAGAUGAGCACCGCAACCCUAGAGUCGGCCACGACUGGACCUAAUGGUCAGGGGUCCCUUUACCUUUACCUUUAUGCAGGUAUGACAGACAUAGGUUUAAUGCAGUGUUUCCCAAACUUGGCUCUUCAGCUGCUCUUGGACUACAACUCCCAUCAUCCCAAACUAGCAGGACCAGUGGUCAGGGAUGAUGGGAACUGUAGUCCAAAAGCAGCUGGAGACCCAAGUUUGGGAAACAUUUGUUUAAUGUUUCUGGGGUGUCCAGUGUUAGAGACUGUGGUGUGCCAGAGAAUUUCUAAACCUUGGGUAUGAGGUGGGGCAGGGAAGGUACUGUGAACGCCCCAGGUGAGAUAUGGGAUGGAAUGCCUGCCCCCCAUUAGUUGUGUUCUAUUUCUCAGCUGGGGGCUUGGCAUAUUUAUGUUGAGCUGUAUAUGUGACCUAGUGUGGAUUGAUGUCUGCAGGGCCUGGUGGUAUGUUCAACUGUGUACCUAUUUCCUUUCUUUCUUUUGCAGAGUGUUCCAUACACAGAGUUUGUCCUGGAGGAAGAAAGAGGUCAUUGGGCAACCUAUCUUAGUUACUCUUUCAAGGAGUGAGAGGCAUUUGAGACGGGGUUAUUUGCCUCUCACUCCUUGAAUGAGUAACUACUCUUAGAGAUGGAGAUAUAUAAGCUUUACAUUGGAAUUGGCAUAGGAUACAGUGGUACCUCAGGUUACGCAUUUAAUUCAUUUUGGGGCGCCAUGCACACCCUGAAAAAUCCACAACUAGAGGCGCCGCUUCUGCGCACACAUGCGGCAUGAUAGAACGCUUCUGCGCAUGCACGCAGAGCACUUCUGUGCAUGCACAAGCAGCGAAACCCGGAAGUAUACACUUCCAGGUUUGCUGCGGCUGUAACCCAAAGAUUCCGUAUCUUGGAGGUUACGCAACACGAGGUACCACUGUAUAGGAAUUUCCCUGCUCAAGUGGUUGAUUUUCUUGACAUUCAUGCAAAUCCUACUGUAAAAGGAAACGGGUUUAAUUCAGUACAAAGGAGAGCUACCCAAAUCUCAGGUCCUAUGCAAUAACACUUGUACAGUGUGCAGUAAAUGUACUGCACUAGCAAAAGGGGUUUGUCCCCCCUCCUUCUUAGUUUUAUCCUAUAUUGGCUCCUCUUCUGCUGCUGCUCAGGAACAGCAAAGGUGAUGGAAAAUCAGAGGACCAGAUAUUAUAGAGAAGCAAGUUUAUGAGAAAGGGAAGGCCAGCAAGUAAGCCGAUUUGAGAGGUGCAUGAGAAUUUACUGGGAGAUUUGAAAGAAGAGGGAUGGCCAGUGAGUGGACCCCAGAAUAUGUUGGUAAAGUGGGACCAGAUAAACUGAGGCAGCUCUAUCCAUCUUCAUACAACAUAAGGUCAUUAGGAAGUCUGAAGAAUAUCGACUUGAAAGAGAAACUGCAAGAUUCAGAAUAGGGAACUGGUAUAUAGUGCCUAGGAUGUGACUAAAGUAUCAGAGACUGUGCCUCAUUAUUAUUUUUUAAGUACAGUGCUACCUCAGGUUAAGUACUUAAUUCAUUCCGGAGGUCCGCUCUUAACAUGAAACUGUUCUUAACCUGAAGCACCACUUUAGCUAAUGGAGCCUCCUGCUGCUGCCGUGCCGCCGGAGCACAAUUUCUGUUCUUAUGCCGAAGCAAAGUUCUUAACCCGAGGUACUAUUUCUGAGUUAGCGGAGUCUGUAACCUGAAGCGUAUGUAACCUGAAGUGUAUGUAACCCGAGUUACCACUGUAUUUUAAAAGAGAGUGAACUUUAGAUUCUCUAAAAUGUCUUUGAGGAAAGGCUUACAGCAGUGUUAGUGAUUCAGAUCUCGCCUCCUGCCUUGUGUUCAUAGGCACAGAAGGAGAAGCCUUAAAAAGAGGUACAUAAGGACAAACCCAUCCUCAUGAUGACAACAACUCAAUCCUAGAAAUGGCUGCUGUUUCCUCUUCUGACUCUUCUUCUUUGCAGCUUCUGCACACACAGGGGGAAAUGAUCCCUCGCCAGUUGACAGAGUGAUUCUUCUUCAGAAAAUGCAAACCGUUUGUUUUAGAGUGUACAUAUUUGUACAGUAUACAUCUUUUUCUGCUUUCUGAGGGGAGUCACAAAACAAUGUAAAAUAAAUAUUGUAAGCACAUGGUUUAAAAAUAAACCUUUUAAAUGUCAUAAAA
rnacentral:lncRNA from 1 species